rnacentral:rRNA from 1 species
GAUGAACGCUGGCGGCGUGCCUAAUACAUGCAAGUCGAGCGAACGGACGAGAAGCUUGCUUCUCUGAUGUUAGCGGCGGACGGGUGAGUAACACGUGGAUAACCUACCUAUAAGACUGGGAUAACUUCGGGAAACCGGAGCUAAUACCGGAUAAUAUUUUGAACCGCAUGGUUCAAAAGUGAAAGACGGUCUUGCCGUCACUUAUAGAUGGAUCCGCGCUGCAUUAGCUAGUUGGUAAGGUAACGGCUUACCAAGGCAACGAUGCAUAGCCGACCUGAGAGGGUGAUCAGCCACACUGGAACUGAGACACGGUCCAGACUCCUACGGGAGGCAGCAGUAGGGAAUCUUCCGCAAUGGGCGAAAGCCUGACGGAGCAACGCCGCGUGAGUGAUGAAGGUCUUCGGAUCGUAAAACUCUGUUAUUAGGAAAGAACAUAUGUGUAAGUAUCUGUGCACAUCUUGACGGUACCUAAUCAGAAAGCCACGGCUAACUACGUG